UCCAAUAGGAGGCCACCCUGUAGUUUUUCAUAUAAUCCAUAUCAUCAGAUGCACACGAGGGCGCUGAUCUCCCCGUACAUGGCCGAUGGUAUAGAAGACUGCCCACACAAACCCGUGAUGACCUACUUCAUCCUAAUUCCAUGCAAACAAGGCACAACAAGUUCACAGCACAAGUAAUCAAACAUUGCAUUUAAAUGCAAGCACAUUAAAUAAACAAAUAUUGUUAUGCAAAUGUACAAAUAGACACAUAUAUAAAUAUGGAAGUAAUGAAUGUUUAUGCUAUAAAUUAAAUAAGUAACAACUAAACAAGUAGGUAAUUAUAACAUUAUGCAUGAAACAAAUAGCUAUUUAUUAUAGAAGACAAAAGCUCUAGUUCUGAUUUUCAUUCAGGAGUAGUGGAUGAGCUUGGUCGAUUUAUAAGAAGUUAAAUUAAGAGGAGAAAAAGGAAUGAAGUAAGGAAUCCCUUUAAAUAAAUCUAGCGACUAAUUUACUAACUACAAUUAUAAGUAAUUAAGAUUCUAUCAAAAUUUCAACAAAACCUCCCCACAUGUAGGACUAUUUACCUGUAUGAAUAAUAACAAUAGCAAGCCUUUAUCAAUCAAACUCAUACAGCCCAUCCAUCAAGCAAUCAAUCAAUUCAACCAAUUUAAAUACCUUUUCUCCUUUAACAACAAUAGUAACACCCAAUCAUCGUCAUGAUAAUUCUAAAUCACUAUAUUCUCACGAUUAAUCAAACCUUAUAGACACUAUUUAAGCAUAACUAUAUUUACAUAUUCGCGAGUAUAAGUUAAUUAUAUAAUAGUUGCAAGUUUAUAUUCAUCUACAUCCUAACUUUUUUUUUUUUUCUCACGAUUUAGCCAUUGUUGCAUAGAUUUAUACUUAAGUUCGGUAUAAAAACUAAAUUUCAGGUCUAAGGCCUAGAGACUCUAGGUUUGAGUCUCUUACCAAAGAAAGAUAAAUCUAUUGAGAUGAAAUUACCAUGAAAAUAGCAAAAACACAUUGAUCUCUAACUCAUUCUAAAUUGUCAUCAGAAAUUUCAAAUCGAUACUGCAACUAUAACUAUAACAUUAGAUCAUACUUACGACUCCUUAAAUAACACUCUUUACCUUAAAGUAUGAAAUCAGCACUUACACUUAACUAUAAUAUUCUUUUUUUCACAUUAUAAUUCACAAGUUCAUUUAUACUCAAAUGCACAAAAGCAUAUAUAUAAUUCAUAACUCAGCUGCCAUUUCAAACUAAAAUCGGUAUUCCAGUUAUUAUCCAUUGCUAACUUGACUAAUUUUCUUGUCAUUCAAUAAGAACUCAUAUUUUACUUCAUUCCCAUCUCUAUUUUUACUAAAAUUUGUCACCACAAUUCUUAUUAAAUUGAUUGUCAACUGAAGAUUAAAUUCACACAACUAAGCAGGCUCUAGUUUUCCCAAACCCAUGGAAUUUAGUCUAGUUAGCUGCUGCCGAUUCAUCAACAUCUUGAUUUCUGAGCUAAAAGUGCUCCUAAACAUACCUAAUUAUUCAUUUCCCAACAAGAUAUAGCUGUGCAACAUCAGUUCUCAUCUUAAUAUUAUCAAAACUCAUAAAAAAAAGUAAUAUAGCUGCUGCCAUUUCAAAAUAUCACAUGUUUCUAAUCAAAACUUAUAGUCUACAUGUAACUUAUUCAUUUCCACCAAGAAACAGAUAUACAAUUUCGUAGUCCAUCUCAUUAUUGUAAAAGUUCAUAAAAAUAAAUGACAAGGUUGCUGCCAUAUCAAAGAAAAUCAAAGUUCUCUGUUUAAAACUUAUAACUUACAUGUUAUCUGAUCCAUUUCCUAUCAAGAAGUUCAUAUAAAAUAUCACUUGCUUCCUAUCAUAUUAAAAACUCAAACAAAUAACCAUCUAACUGCUGCCACCUAAGGGGUUAUUAAUUCCUAUAAACUAACAAUUUUUACAUUAAAUCUCAGUUUAUACUUCAAUUAGAGAUUAAUAUCAAAAUUCCCGAAUUAUUUUGCGCACGGUGUUUUUGAAUCCCAAGGCUCUUCACAAACUGAAAUUCAUGCUCAAUCUCAAGUCUAUCUUCGAGUAUUACAUUCUUACACUAUACCUCAUAGAAAUUCAAUUUAUAAUAUCAAUGGCAGCAUAAAUUUUGGGAAUUCAUUUCAAUAAUCUCGCAUGAACAGUAUUUAAAAUCCCUAACUCCAUCACAACUAAAAUCCAGGCUUAGAUUCUUUAAUCUAAUCGCAAGAAAUCACAUAGCAUGAAGAAGGAAGCCGAAAAUUUCUUACCAAAUUGCAAAACACGUCGGAGGACUCGAGUUUCCGGUUGACCAGUCACAAAUCAAAGUCUCUCUCUCUAACUCGCUGCUGCCCCCAUAGCUAGACCAAAAUUGGAAAGAAUGGCGGCUGGAGAAGCGCUAGCGGCGAAGAGAGAAGUCUGCGCCGAUCGGACUUGGCUGCUCUUGCCGGAAAUAGCCAAAAAUUGGUUCAAACCAGGUUCGAUUAGGUCCAAUUCAUGAUUUUUUUUUUUUGUAUGGUUUUAACUUGAUUUAUUGAUUUUUCUUAUGGUUU
rnacentral:lncRNA from 1 species